UAAUGAGCUUAUUGUUGGCAUGCUGCCUUCUUUGUCUGCUUCUCUAUAAAUCAAACGAGCACUGGUUAGUGAAUGUGGAAUGCUGGGGAUGCUCCCUCCCCACCUCGUCUUGACCUGCCACCAUCGAGAAUAAAGUGAUAUGAGCUCCUUAUUUGUGGUCUCCACCAUUGCCCUUCUGAAGUCUGCCUGGAUCCAGUGAACUUGCAGGGAGCUGAGCUACUCUUUAAUGGAUUCCCAGAGCCAUCUGGGUCCAGGGGGAAGAUACAAAUCAGAAUGACUGGAGAUGGCCCUGGAUGAAGUGGGAGGCCUUGGACUUUUUGGAUUUUUAACAGGAUUCAGUUUGACUGAGGCAGUGCCCUUUCGGUGAUUAAGGCUAGAAGAGAAGGUCAAAAGGCUGAAAGAAGCAGGUCAGCUCUCCAUGCUGUCAGGGAAAACAAAGUGUUCCUUGAAAGAAUGCCUUCAAGGAAGAAACAAAGAAGAAAAAUUAUGUGAAGAAGCAUGUGGAAUCGUUACUCUGUGACAACUAGCUGCAAGAUGGAAGAAUAAGACACAGAGAAGGGAGGAAGGAGGCCCAUUAAAUAUCUGAAGCUAAAUAAUAUGUGGAGGGGU